GAGAGUUUGAUCCUGGCUCAGGACGAACGCUGGCGGCGUGCCUAAUACAUGCAAGUCGAACGCUUCUUUUUCCACCGGAGCUUGCUCCACCGGAAAAAGAGGAGUGGCGAACGGGUGAGUAACACGUGGGUAACCUGCCCAUCAGAAGGGGAUAACACUUGGAAACAGGUGCUAAUACCGUAUAACAAUCGAAACCGCAUGGUUUUGAUUUGAAAGGCGCUUUCGGGUGUCGCUGAUGGAUGGACCCGCGGUGCAUUAGCUAGUUGGUGAGGUAACGGCUCACCAAGGCGACGAUGCAUAGCCGACCUGAGAGGGUGAUCGGCCACAUUGGGACUGAGACACGGCCCAAACUCCUACGGGAGGCAGCAGUAGGGAAUCUUCGGCAAUGGACGAAAGUCUGACCGAGCAACGCCGCGUGAGUGAAGAAGGUUUUCGGAUCGUAAAACUCUGUUGUUAGAGAAGAACAAGGAUGAGAGUAACUGUUCAUCCCUUGACGGUAUCUAACCAGAAAGCCACGGCUAACUACGUGCCAGCAGCCGCGGUAAUACGUAGGUGGCAAGCGUUGUCCGGAUUUAUUGGGCGUAAAGCGAGCGCAGGCGGUUUCUUAAGUCUGAUGUGAAAGCCCCCGGCUCAACCGGGGAGGGUCAUUGGAAACUGGGAGACUUGAGUGCAGAAGAGGAGAGUGGAAUUCCAUGUGUAGCGGUGAAAUGCGUAGAUAUAUGGAGGAACACCAGUGGCGAAGGCGGCUCUCUGGUCUGUAACUGACGCUGAGGCUCGAAAGCGUGGGGAGCAAACAGGAUUAGAUACCCUGGUAGUCCACGCCGUAAACGAUGAGUGCUAAGUGUUGGAGGGUUUCCGCCCUUCAGUGCUGCAGCUAACGCAUUAAGCACUCCGCCUGGGGAGUACGACCGCAAGGUUGAAACUCAAAGGAAUUGACGGGGGCCCGCACAAGCGGUGGAGCAUGUGGUUUAAUUCGAAGCAACGCGAAGAACCUUACCAGGUCUUGACAUCCUUUGACCACUCUAGAGAUAGAGCUUCCCCUUCGGGGGCAAAGUGACAGGUGGUGCAUGGUUGUCGUCAGCUCGUGUCGUGAGAUGUUGGGUUAAGUCCCGCAACGAGCGCAACCCUUAUUGUUAGUUGCCAUCAUUUAGUUGGGCACUCUAGCAAGACUGCCGGUGACAAACCGGAGGAAGGUGGGGAUGACGUCAAAUCAUCAUGCCCCUUAUGACCUGGGCUACACACGUGCUACAAUGGGAAGUACAACGAGUCGCAAAGUCGCGAGGCUAAGCUAAUCUCUUAAAGCUUCUCUCAGUUCGGAUUGUAGGCUGCAACUCGCCUACAUGAAGCCGGAAUCGCUAGUAAUCGCGGAUCAGCACGCCGCGGUGAAUACGUUCCCGGGCCUUGUACACACCGCCCGUCACACCACGAGAGUUUGUAACACCCGAAGUCGGU
rnacentral:rRNA from 1 species